rnacentral:lncRNA from 1 species
GUUAAUUCAUCUAACUUUUUUGAUCAUUCCUACAAAAGCAGAAUUUAUAAUAUUGUCAACUUAAAGAACUUUAUCUUAUAUGAAUAAAACUAAAAAUGAUAAAAAAAAUCAGAUUAAUUAAAGAACAAGCUGCAUUAUACAAGAUUAAAAGGAGGGAAUGUCUAAGAGAACUUCAAGGGUAGCAGUAAGAGCAGUCCUCAUAGAUCUUGUGAUGCUUAGGUAAGCCAUCUUUUGAAUUUUUCAUUCAGAAUCCUGCAUAUUUUAAUAAAACUUUGCCAUUGAAUGAUGACAGCCUAAGUAGUAAUGAGUCUUACACUUAUAGUGUAUAUCUUUUAAAACAACCUUGGUUUUAAUCACCAUGUCUUACCCUAAAUAUCCCUUUAAGCCCAUGGCCCUACAGAUCAUAACAACAAAAUCUGUAUGUGGUUUCCAAGUCAGUAUCUUGUCUAACUUAACACCAAGUUACUUGACUUCAGUAGAAAACUGUGAUCUUUUGCUGAAUAGUGAUAAUUCAGAAAGCCCCAUCAAGGGCCUACAUGCUUUUUUUCAUGUAAAAGAUACAAUUACAGUGAGGUAUGCUACAAUGAAUGAUGCUAUACGAAUGAAUACUAGAAUGAAUAGUUUUAUC